rnacentral:rRNA from 1 species
CAGCCGCCACGGGAAAACGAAGGGUGCAAGCGUUACUCGGAAUUACUGGGCGUAAAGCGUGCGUAGGCGGUUACUCAAGUCAGAGGUGAAAGCCCGGGGCUCAACCCCGGAACUGCCUUUGAAACUAGGUGACUAGAAUCUUGGAGAGGUCAGUGGAAUUCCGAGUGUAGAGGUGAAAUUCGUAGAUAUUCGGAAGAACACCAGUGGCGAAGGCGACUGACUGGACAAGUAUUGACGCUGAGGUGCGAAAGCGUGGGGAGCAAACAGGAUUAGAUACCCCUGUAGUCCCUGUCUCUUAUAC